rnacentral:rRNA from 1 species
GAUGAACGCUAGCGGCAGGCCUAACACAUGCAAGUCGAGGAGCAGCGGGAACUUCGGUUCGCCGGCGACCGGCGCACGGGUGCGUAACGCGUAUGCAACCUACCUUUAACUGGGAGAUAGCCCCGAGAAAUCGGGAUUAAUAUCCCAUAGUAUUCUUGAGUGGCAUCACUUAAGACUUAAAGCUCCGGCGGUUAAAGAUGGGCAUGCGUGACAUUAGUUUGUUGGUGAGGUAACGGCUCACCAAGACUACGAUGUCUAGGGGUUCUGAGAGGAUGAUCCCCCACACUGGUACUGAGACACGGACCAGACUCCUACGGGAGGCAGCAGUGAGGAAUAUUGGUCAAUGGACGCAAGUCUGAACCAGCCAUGCCGCGUGCAGGAUGACGGCCCUAUGGGUUGUAAACUGCUUUUAUUUAGGAAUAACUCCCCGGUCGUGCAUCGGGGCUGAAUGUACUAAAAGAAUAAGCAUCGGCUAACUCCGU